UACGAAGGGGGCUAGCGUUACUCGGAUUGACUGGGCGUAAAGGGCGCGUAGGCGGCUUGUACAGUCAGACGUGAAAUUCCUGGGCUCAACCUGGGGGCUGCGUUUGAUACGUAUGGGCUUGAGUUCGGAAGAGGGUCGUGGAAUUCCCAGUGUAGAGGUGAAAUUCGUAGAUAUUGGGAAGAACACCGGUGGCGAAGGCGGCGACCUGGUCCGAUACUGACGCUGAGGCGCGAAAGCGUGGGGAGCGAACAGG
rnacentral:rRNA from 1 species